UUUCAGAACGUGUUUUCGUUUUUCCUUAAGUUGUCUUCCUGCUCGGAGUGACAUCAUAGAAGCGCGAAAUCAUGUGUUGUUAACCAGAUUUUCUAGCGAGUGAUCCGCAGAUCGGUCUCUAACGACUCAGCCGAAGCAAGUCGAUGCCCUGUUUGAACUUUACACUCGAUAAACUUGAUUAUUGAAAGACGACCGCUUUUGUUACUAAUCAAGGUGCUAAUCACAAAACAGAUGUCUAGCAUUAAUUAGUAUUUCCGGCCUGAAAAGAUUUCCUCGUUUAUUACUCUGUGGUCCGCGUCAUCAUGCGAGGCGCGUAAUCGGCCGGGAUUCGCACGACAGGCGUGCGAGCGAUGCAUCGCGUGGAGUGCAUCGUGCGAGAGGGACGGAGGAGUUCAAUGCAGGUGUAUUGGUCCGAGGAGUGUGCGGGGUGCGUGGGACAGGAGGCUGGGGGGAGGGGGUCACUGGACUGGUUUCCGUUGUUUCGCAAUAACACGGGUUCAAUGACGCCUCCACACUUACAAUUGCUGAUGUGUCACGACGUGCCUCUGCCCCUUCACUUCUAGUCGACCACUAAUCCUAAUGGUAUCUACGGCACAUCGCGUUUCUAUAAUAUUUAUGAUGAGAGACGUUCAUAUCGCUAUAACAGUUUCGUGUGUCAAUGGAAACAUAUUUUUAUUCUUCCGCUGACCCACAAAGCCGAUAUCAAAGAAAGUAAACUAAACAUCAUAAUUCACAACAACCAAACAAUGUAUUAUUCAUAUCCCAAAACAAAUAAUAACGAAUAUUAUAAGAACGUCCCGAUUACAUAAAUCAAUAUCAUCAUAUCACA